AUUGACCGCUGGCGGCAGGCCUAACACAUGCAAGUCGAGCGAGCGGCGGACGGGUGAGUAAUGUCUGGGAACCUGCCUGAUGGAGGGGGAUAACUACUGGAAACGGUAGCUAAUACCGCAUACCAUCAGAUGUGCCCCGAUGGGAUUAGCUAGUAGGUGGGGUAAUGGCUCACCUAGGCGACGAUACCUAGCUGGUCUGAGAGGAUGACCAGCCAAACUGGAACGGAGACACGGUCCAGACUCCUACGGAAGGCAGCAGGGGGGAAGAUGGCACAAGUGGCGAAAGCCUGAUACAGCCAUGCCGCGUGUGUGAAGAAGGCCUUCGGGUUGUAAAGCACUUUCAGCGGGGAGGCGUUACCCGCAGAAGAAGCACCGGCUAACUCCGUGCCAGCCGCCGCGGUAAUUC
rnacentral:rRNA from 1 species